GGGGGUGUAGCUCAUAUGGUAGAGCGCUCGCUCUGCAUGCCAGAGGCACGGGGUUUGAAUCCUCGCACCUCCA
rfam:Ipomoea nil DNA, scaffold: scaffold2283, cultivar: Tokyo-kokei standard.